GAAUAUCCCUUGCCGUAGACUGA
rnacentral:miRNA from 1 species